CACCGAUAAUGGCUAAACUGCUGAAAAGUAGUGGCGCAAAGCUAGAAGGGCCUACGACCCCUCCCAAUGGGUUAUGGCAGCCAGCUACCGAA
rnacentral:ncRNA from 1 species